GAUGAACGCUGGCGGCGUGCCUAAUACAUGCAAGUCGAGCGAACGGACGAGAAGCUUGCUUCUCUGAUGUUAGCGGCGGACGGGUGAGUAACACGUGGAUAACCCACCUAUAAGACUGGGAUAACUUCGGGAAACCGGAGCUAAUACCGGAUAAUAUUUUGAACCGCAUGGUUCAAAAGUAAAAGACGGUCUUGCUGUCACUUAUAGAUGGAUCCGCGCUGCAUUAGCUAGUUGGUAAGAUAACGGCUUACCAAGGCAACGAUGCAUAGCCGACCUGAGAGGGUGAUCGGCCACACUGGAACUGAGACACGGUCCAGACUCCUACGGGAGGCAGCAGUAGGGAAUCUUCCGCAAUGGGCGAAAGCCUGACGGAGCAACGCCGCGUGAGUGAUGAAGGUCUUCGGAUCGUAAAACUCUGUUAUUAGGGAAGAACAUAUGUGUAAGUAACUGUGCACAUCUUGACGGUACCUAAUCAGAAAGCCACGGCUAACUACGUG
rnacentral:rRNA from 1 species